rnacentral:rRNA from 1 species
AGCGAACGCUGGCGGCAGGCUUAACACAUGCAAGUCGAGCGCCCCGCAAUGGGAGCGGCAGACGGGAGAGUAACACGUGGGAACGUACCUUUCAGUACGGAACAACCAAGGGAAACUUUGGCUAAUACCGUAUACGCCCGUAAGGGGAAAGAUUUAUCGUCGGAAGAUCGGCCUGCGUCGGAUUAGCUUGUUGGUGAGGUAAUGGCUCACCAAGGCGACGAUCAGUAGCUGGUCUGAGCGGAUGAUCAGCGUCACUGGCACUGAGACACGGCCCUGACUCUUACGGGAGGCAGAGAUGGGGAAUGGUAGACAAUGGGCGAAAGCCUGAUCCACCCAUGCCGCAUCAGUGAUGAAGGACUUAGGGGUGUAAGGAUCGUUCGUUGGGGAAGAUAAUGACGGGACCGAAAGAAUAAACCCCGGCUAACUUCGUGCCAGCCGCCGCAGUAAUUC